AAUAGAAAUGAAAUGUAUUAAUGGUGCUGUUUAGGUGCGUUUGGAAUGUGUGGUGAGUUUAUUGAAGGCAGCUGUGGCUCCACUCAGCUCAUUCAUAAUGGAGGCACUUGCUCUGAAUCACCCUUUAACGGCCGCCAUUCGCCAACAACUGCAACUGGUUCCAAGCAAAAUGGUGCUGAAAAGUAUCAAUUCAAUGAAACCUACAACACCGACCAUGAGAUAUGACGAUGUGUGAAGCGUUGUCUGAAGGCUGAUGAGGCUGGAGAACUGGAGGAUGAUGAGGAAGGGAAUGCAGACACAGGGGAAAGAGGCAAGCUGAGGCUGGAGAGGCAUUUCGAAGGAGACAAAGGCUGUAGUGCUAAAGAUGCAAAUAGGCUGGUAACUGAGACGAAUGUAAUCGAAAUCCCCCAAGAUCCAGAAUAUGGGAAGAUAACGGACAGACGAAAGUUUAUGCCAAUGAGGUAUUGUAAAUGUUGGGGUCUUCUUAUCCUUUCUUUAUUUAUAUUAUUAAAAUUUAAAAUGCUUUUGCAAAACAAAAGGGUUUAAGUAAUAAAAAUGUUGGGGACUUGUAAUUCUUUCUUAAUAAUUAAUAUUAUUACACCAUCCAUUGAUGCAUUGAGCUAAGACAAGUCGUGUUAUGCACGACUUCAGU